rnacentral:lncRNA from 1 species
UGCAACAUCACUUGGCCAUAAAUGAAUUGUUCCAUGACGGGUUGAUUUUGUUUUUGUUUUCAGGCCCAGCUGCAGCAAGGUGGGAUCCCCUCGGUUAGUGAGCCAGAGUCUGAGUCAAUUAAGACGGGGCCAACAUGGGUUCUCAGUUGGACAAGACCCAUCAGCUGAGCACUGGUAGCCUGCGGGAGGUGAGGAGGGAAAUGGAGUCCAGCAACAUGAUGAGCGAAUCGCUUGACAAGAUCUUCCAGUGUGCGGAGGAGCAUUUCGCCAAGGAGCCCGACUGCGUGAAGAACAACGCCAAGAUGACGCUCCACUGGAACUGGAAAUCGCUGGUGUUUGUGUCCGGCCGAGGAGGAGGAUAUCAGCUGGCCUGAGGGUCCUGAGCCUCGCAAACCUGGAAGGAGCCCGGAGGAGCCUGGAUUUAUGGGAGGAGACACCCAAGAGUCUGAAAACCUGCUUUGACUGCGCCAUCUGGGGCUUCCGGAAGGAGCCCGCGUGUGUGCAGGAGAACGCGAAGCUGGUGAUCCAUUGCAGCAGGAGAAAUCUGCCGUUCAUCUCUGGGAAGGGCGAAUGUGAGAUCAGCGUGUCCUACAGUGAUGGGAAACCGGUCUACACCGUCAAGGAGCCCACAGGGGAGGUUUACCUGGCACGACUCGGCACCCGCCCUGCACCUCUGAGCGUCUCGAGUGUAGUGAGGGCUCGCAACACGUUGGAGUCCUUUGGGGGAUGACGCAGGAGCUGAGGGGCUGCUUUGAAUAUGCUCUGGAAGCGUUGGAGGAGGCAACUAAGCGUGUUCAGGAGAAUGCGCUGAUGUUGCUCGAUACCACCAGAGGCAGGAUGAUGUUCAAGUCUGGGAAAGGGGAGAUUACAAUCACCGUCUUCUCCAUGAACGGGGAAUUCACGCAUGACGUCAAAAUGCCCAAAACCAACCGCCCGCCGAGAAAGUGAGGAGGAAAAGAAAAGAAAAUUGGAAUUUGCCAAGAGGCUUUGCCCUUCAGAGCAGGAUUCAACCUGAGAGUAUCUUAGCUGGAUCUAGUGUCGCCAACUUUCUCCAUUUCAUCGCCAUAUUUUGUGUUAUGCUCAAAGCCCCCAGCUCCAAGAGUCAAGGGAUUUCCUGAGAAUCUCAGCUUUCAUUUUUUUAAAAAUGGAGGUUGCGUGGAAAAGCCAGAAAAGUGACACUGAAAAUUGCAAAACCAGGCAGUAAAUGAGCUGGAUGAAACGUGUUGUUGUUGUUGUUGUUUAAAAAUCUCACCAUUUUUAAGCCAGUCUCAUGCUUUCUGGGUCCUGAUUCGUGAUUUUUGAUCACUUGGGCUUGGCAAGACUGGGACUAAAGGAGAAACCAACACUUUUCCAAGGAUUCCUUCACAUCCUCCAGCUCCACGUGUAGAGAUGGUUGAAGUUUUUUAUAGAGAAACUUUUUUUCUAACCUCGACAAAUAUUUUUUUCACAGAAUCCAAAAGAUUUUUCCCAAAACUUUUAUUUUUGAGGAAUUUGUAGGAAAUUAAUUGUACAUGAACUUAAAAACACACACAAACACACUUUCUUUCAGUUUUCAUUUUCCAUUUGUUUUUGGUCACCAUAGUGUGAUGCAGUGCAGAAUGAAAUUGUGACCUCUACAUCUAAAACAGGACAGGUCUACAUUAGCUCCAUGAUUCGGGUUGGUCCAAGAUUUUGUUUUGUUUUUUCAGUCACCUUUGCCUGAAAACCAAAAAUGAAUUUUGAGAUUGACACAUUUUCAGUUGUUAAAAUGAGUUACCCAUUAUUCAAGUAGAAGAAAGAGGUGUGUUAUUCACUCAUGUUGAACGAACCCAAGUUAAUUACCUUCUGUUACGAGCUUUCACUGGAAAAAAGUGUGUUUUUACACCCGAAUAGCAAUUUUAAUGUAAACUCUUUGGGUAUGUCUAGACNCCCCGCCAUAUUGGCGGGUAGUGAUCGAUUUCUCGGGGAUCGAUAUAUCGCGUCUCAUCUAGAUGUGAUAUAUCUAUCCCCGAACUAGCUCCCGUCGACUCUGGAAUUCCACCAACCCAAAUGGCAGUAGCGAAGUCGACAGGGGGAGCCGCGGACGUCGAUCCCGCACCGUGAGGACGAGAGGUAAAUCGAUCUAAGAUACUUUGACUUCAGCUACGCUAUUCACGUAGCUGAAGUUGCGUAUCUUAGAUCGAUCCCCCCCAGUGUAGACCAGCCCCUAGUGAUGUCAAAGGUGAUAGUUUUUACCUUGCCAUAAGAAGUUUAGGUGAACCAACAUCCCCGCGUAGUGAUGCAUAGACAGAUGGAGCUGGUUGGACAGACAGACAGAGCUGCAGCUGGAUGUUUUAACUAGCUGAUUACUGAGCACAUUCUUCAAGAUCAGCUUUAAGAUUCUUUUAACAUCCCAUCUUAAUGAGGCAAAGACAGCUUUUAGGGUGGAGCAUAACAUGAAACAUCCAAGCCGCUGGAUGCUUCUUAAUGACUCAUGUUAGGAAAACACAAUUAAGCCCUGUUAAAAUCUUUGAGAGAAUUGCUUGCAGCUUUGACUCUAUGCACCCAUUUACCUAUUACUGAAAUCCUUGUACUGGCAUGUGUACGUAUAUUUACACCCACUUAGCUUUGAAAUAGAUUAUCUGCUGAAUAUUGUCACACUCUGCUUGGUUUGCAGGAGGCUAAGAGGAAAUUAAAAAUGUGUGGAUGUUUUGAAAACAUUAUCUUACCUAGCUGCCUAUGCAACUGCACCAUGGUUUAUAUGACUUUGAAACAAUGACGUGUGCUGAUGAUGGGAGAAUUUUAACAAUAAAAUUGUCCUACAAAUAUGAUACCA